ACGACUCUCGGCAACGGAUAUCUCGGCUCUCGCAUCGAUGAAGAACGUAGCGAAAUGCGAUACCUGGUGUGAAUUGCAGAAUCCCGCGAACCAUCGAGUCUUUGAACGCAAGUUGCGCCCGAGGCCACUCGGCCGAGGGCACGCCUGCUUGGGCGUCACGC
rnacentral:rRNA from 2 species